rnacentral:rRNA from 1 species
UACGAAGGGGGCUAGCGUUGCUCGGAAUCACUGGGCGUAAAGGGUGCGUAGGCGGGUCUUUAAGUCGAGGGGUGAAAUCCUGGAGCUCAACUCCAGAACUGCCUUUGAUACUGAGGAUCUUGAGUUCGGGAAGAGGUGAGUGGAACUGCGAGUGUAGAGGUGAAAUUCGUAGAUAUUCGCAAGAACACCAGUGGCGAAGGCGGCUCACUGGCCCGAGUACUGACGCUGAGGCACGAAAGCGUGGGGAGCAACAGGG